rnacentral:rRNA from 1 species
UGCUGACUGAUGCAGGAUUCACAAAGACAGGCUUCGGCCGACUUUGUAAACUCGAUCUCAAAUCAAGUAAGACUACCCGCUGAACUUAAGCAUAUCAUA